rnacentral:rRNA from 1 species
CCUACGUGUGGCAGCAGUGGGGAAUCUUGGGCAAUGGAGGAAACUCUGACCCAGCAACGCCGCGUGAAUGAUGAAGGUCUUCGGAUUGUACAGUUCUUUUCUAAUGGAAGAAGAAAGUGACGGUACCUUAGUAAUAAGCCUCGGCUAACUACGUGCCAGCAGCCGCGGUAAUACGUAGGUGGCAAGCGUUAUCCGGAAUGGCGGGGCGUAAAGGGUGCGUAGGUGGUUUGAUACGUAGGUAGCGUAACUCCGAGGCUCAACCUCGGAACUACUACCAACACUGUCGGACUUGAGUGCAGGGGGGGCAACUGGAAUUCCUAGUGUAGCGGUGGAAUGCGUAGAUAUUAGGAGGAACACCAGUGGCGAAGGCGAGUUGCUGGACUGUAACUGACACUGAGGCACGAAAGCGUGGGGAGCAAACAGGAUUAGAUACCCCAGUAGUC